CUAGUAAGAUCCCUGAAAGAUGAUCAGGUUGAUAGGUCAGAGGUGGAAGCGUGGCGACAUGUGUAGCUGACUGAUACUAAUCGAUCGAGGACUUAACCAA
rnacentral:rRNA from 1 species